AGUUGUGGUAGUCUCUUUCUGACACAUUUGUUAAGUUUUCAAAUGGGUCUGACUCUACCACAUACAUAAUAAGGAGCUAUCAAAAGCUUAAAGACGGAAAUAUCUCUCUUGAGCUUUUAUUGUAUCAGAUAUUGGCUCUCACAAUC
ensembl:snoRNA